UCCAGACUCCUACGGGAGGCAGCAGUGGGGGAUAUUGCACAAUGGGGGGAACCCUGAUGCAGCGACGCCGCGUGGGUGAAGAAGCGCCUCGGCGCGUAAAGCCCUGUCAGCAGGGAAGAAAAUGACGGUACCUGAAGAAGAAGCCCCGGCUAACUACGUGCCAGCAGCCGCGGUAAUACGUAGGGGGCAAGCGUUAUCCGGAUUUACUGGGUGUAAAGGGAGCGUAGACGGCGACGCAAGUCUGGAGUGAAAGCCCGGGGCCCAACCCCGGGACUGCUCUUGGAACUGCGCGGCUGGAGUGCAGGAGGGGCAGGCGGAAUUCCUGGUGUAGCGGUGAAAUGCGUAGAUAUCAGGAGGAACACCGGCGGCGAAGGCGGCCUGCUGGACCGUGACUGACGUUGAGGCUCGAGAGCGUGGGGAGCAAACAGGAUUAGAUACCCUUGUA
rnacentral:rRNA from 1 species